rnacentral:pre_miRNA from 1 species
AUUCUACUCCCUCCGUUGCACAAUACAUGCCUUCUAUUUGUCAAAAUAUAUAUGUAUCUAGACAUGUCUUAGUAUAUAGGUACAUCCAUUUUUGGAUAAAUGGAAGUCAAGUAUUUUGGAAUGGAGGGAGUACACA